rnacentral:misc_RNA from 1 species
GAUGAAGAACGCAGCGAAAUGCGAUAAGUAAUGUGAAUUGCAGAAUUCAGUGAAUCAUCGAAUCUUUGAACGCACAUUGCGCCCUCUGGUAUUCCGGGGGGCAUGCCUGUCCGAGCGUCAUUUCAACCCUCAAGCACUGCUUGGCAUUGGGCCCCGCCGGCACCCGGCGCGCCUUAAAAUCAGUGGCGGCGUCAUCCGGCUCCAAGCGUAGCAGCUAAAUCUCGCUUCGGAGCCCCGGGUGGCAGCUUCCCAGCGAACCUCAACUCUCACAAGGUUGACCUCGGAUCAGGUAGGAUUACCCGCUGAACUUAAGCAUAUCAAUAAGCGGAGGA